rnacentral:rRNA from 1 species
GAUGAACGCUGGCGGCGUGCCUAACACAUGCAAGUCGAACGAGAUGCGUAUUGGAACGCUUCGGCCGGAAGAUGCGUUAUCUAGUGGCGGACGGGUGAGUAACACGUGGGUAACCUGCCUUAUGGAGGGGGAUAACAGAGAGAAAUCACUGCUAAUACCGCAUAAGCACACAUUGCCGCAUGGCAGAGUGUGAAAAGAUUUAUCGCCAUAAGAUGGACCCGCGUCUGAUUAGCCAGUUGGCAGGGUAAAAGCCUACCAAAGCAACGAUCAGUAGCCGAUCUGAGAGGAUGACCGGCCACAUUGGGACUGAGACACGGCCCAAACUCCUACGGGAGGCAGCAGUGGGGAAUAUUGCACAAUGGGGGAAACCCUGAUGCAGCGACGCCGCGUGAGUGAAGAAGUAUUUCGGUAUGUAAAGCUCUAUCAGCAGGGAAGAUAAUGACAGUACCUGACUAAGAAGCCCCGGCUAACUACGUG